rnacentral:rRNA from 1 species
ACACAUGCAAGUCGAGGGGCAGCAUGGUCUUAGCUUGCUAAGGCCGAUGGCGACCGGCGCACGGGUGAGUAACGCGUAUCCAACCUGCCUUACACUCUUGGACAGCCUUCUGAAAGGGAGAUUAAUACAAGAUGUUAUCAUGAGUAAGCAUUUUCACAUGAUUAAAGGUUUACCGGUGUAAGAUGGGGAUGCGUUCCAUUAGAUAGUAGGCGGGGUAACGGCCCACCUAGUCUUCGAUGGAUAGGGGUUCUGAGAGGAAGGUCCCCCACAUUGGAACUGAGACACGGUCCAAACUCCUACGGGAGGCAGCAGUGAGGAAUAUUGGUCAAUGGACGAGAGUCUGAACCAGCCAAGUAGCGUGAAGGAUGAAGGUUCUAUGGAUUGUAAACUUCUUUUAUACGGGAAUAAACGGAUCCACGUGUGGAUUUUUGCAUGUACCGUAUGAAUAAGGAUCGGCUAACUCCGUGCCAGCAGCCGCGGUAAUACGGAGGAUCCGAGCGUUAUCCGGAUUUAUUGGGUUUAAAGGGAGCGUAGAUGGGUUGUUAAGUCAGUUGUGAAAGUUUGCGGCUCAACCGUAAAAUUGCAAUUGAUACUGGCAGUCUUGAGUACAGUUGAGGUAGGCGGAAUUCGUGGUGUAGCGGUGAAAUGCUUAGAUAUCACGAAGAACUCCGAUUGCGAAGGCAGCUUACUAACCUGUAACUGACAUUGAUGCUCGAAAGUGUGGGUAUCAAACAGGAUUAGAUACCCUGGUAGUCCACACGGUAAACGAUGAAUACUCGCUGUAGGCGAUAUACGGUCUGC